GAUGAACGCUAGCUACAGGCUUAACACAUGCAAGUCGAGGGGCAGCGCAGUGUAGCAAUACAUGGGCGGCGACCGGCGCACGGGUGCGUAACGCGUAUCCAACCUUCCCGUUACUCAGGGAUAGCCUUCCGAAAGGGAGAUUAAUACCUGAUGGUGUUUGAAUUCCGCAUGUUAUUCAAACUAAAGAUUCAUCGGUAACGGAUGGGGAUGCGUGACAUUAGGUAGAUGGCGGGUAACGGCCACCAUGCCCACGAUGUCUAGGGGUUCUGAGAGGAAGGUCCCCCACACUGGAACUGAGACACGGUCCAGACUCCUACGGGAGGCAGCAGUGAGGAAUAUUGGUCAAUGGUCGGAAGACUGAACCAGCCAAGUAAGCGUGAAGGAUGAAGGUUCUAUGGAUUGUAAACUUCUUUAUAUAGGAAUAAACUACCACGUGUGGAGCUUNUAUGUACUAUAUAG
rnacentral:rRNA from 1 species